CUCAGAUUGAACGCUGGCGGCAGGCUUAACACAUGCAAGUCGAGCGGUAACAGGAGAAGCUUGCUUCUCGCUGACGAGCGGCGGACGGGUGAGUAAUACUUAGGAAUCUACCUAGUAGUGGGGGAUAGCUCGGGGAAACUCGAAUUAAUACCGCAUACGACCUACGGGAGAAAGGGGGCAACUUGUUGCUCUCGCUAUUAGAUGAGCCUAAGUCGGAUUAGCUAGAUGGUGGGGUAAAGGCCUACCAUGGCGACGAUCUGUAGCUGGUCUGAGAGGAUGAUCAGCCACACCGGGACUGAGACACGGCCCGGACUCCUACGGGAGGCAGCAGUGGGGAAUAUUGGACAAUGGGGGCAACCCUGAUCCAGCCAUGCCGCGUGUGUGAAGAAGGCCUUUUGGUUGUAAAGCACUUUAAGCAGUGAAGAAGACUCCAUGGUUAAUACCCAUGGACGAUGACAUUAGCUGCAGAAUAAGCACCGGCUAACUCUGUGCCAGCAGCCGCGGUAAUACAGAGGGUGCAAGCGUUAAUCGGAAUUACUGGGCGUAAAGCGAGCGUAGGUGGCUUGAUAAGUCAGAUGUGAAAGCCCCGGGCUUAACCUGGGAACGGCAUCUGAUACUGUUAGGCUAGAGUAGGUGAGAGGAAGGUAGAAUUCCAGGUGUAGCGGUGAAAUGCGUAGAGAUCUGGAGGAAUACCGAUGGCGAAGGCAG
rnacentral:rRNA from 1 species